GACGAACGCUGGCGGCGUGCUUAACACAUGCAAGUCGAGCGGUAAGGCCUCUUCGGGGGUACACGAGCGGCGAACGGGUGAGUAACACGUGGGUGACCUGCCCUCAGCUCUGGGAUAAGCCUGGGAAACUGGGUCUAAUACCGGAUAUGACCUUUCCUCGCAUGGGGUUUGGUGGAAAGUUUUUUCGGCUGGGGAUGGGCCCGCGGCCUAUCAGCUUGUUGGUGGGGUGAUGGCCUACCAAGGCGACGACGGGUAGCCGGCCUGAGAGGGCGACCGGCCACACUGGGACUGAGACACGGCCCAGACUCCUACGGGAGGCAGCAGUGGGGAAUAUUGCGCAAUGGGCGGAAGCCUGACGCAGCGACGCCGCGUGGGGGAUGACGGCCCUCGGGUUGUAAACCUCUUUCGACCCCGACGAAUUUGGACGGUAGGGGUAGAAGAAGCGCCGGCCAACUACGUG
rnacentral:rRNA from 1 species